rnacentral:misc_RNA from 1 species
UCCGGUUUGACACCGGCAGUCCCCUUAGAGUCCCCGGCAUAACCCGAUGGUAACUAAGGGCAAAGGUUUCGCUCGUUAAGGGACUUAACCCGACAUCUCACGACACGAGCUGACGACAGCCAUGCAGCACCUGUACCAGUUGUACCCCUUGCGGGGCCUACCCGACUUUCAUCGGGAUAAUCCUGGCGAGUCAAGCCCAGGUAAGGUUCUGCGCGUUGCUUCGAAUUGAACCACAUGCUCCACCGCUUGUGUGAGCCCCCGUCAAUUCCUUUGAGUUUUAGCCUUGCGACCGUACUUCCCAGGCGGUCCACUUAGCACUUUUGCUUCGACCCUGACAGCGUCAGAGCUGCCAGAAUCUAGUGGACAUCGUUUACGGCCAGGACUAC